rnacentral:rRNA from 1 species
CCUACGGGAGGCUGCAGUAGGGAAUAUUGGACAAUGGGUGCGAGCCUGAUCCAGCCAUGCCGCGUGCAGGAAGAAGGCGUUAUGCGUUGUAAACUGCUUUUGCCAGGGGAUAAAAUAACUGUGCGCAGUUGAUUGAAGGUACCUGGUGAAUAAGCCACGGCUAACUACGUGCCAGCAGCCGCGGUAAUACGUAGGUGGCAAGCGUUGUCCGGAUUUAAUGGGUUUAAAGGGGACCCUGGAAACCCGGUAAGAAAUAUCUCAGCUUAACUGAGAGGGUGCCAUUGAUACUGCGGGGCUUGAGUACAGAUGAGGUAGGCGGAAUUGACGGUGUAGCGGUGAAAUGCAUAGAUAUCGUCAAGAACACCGAUAGCGAAGGCAGCUUACCAAGCUGUAACUGACGCUGAGGCACGAAAGUGUGGGGAUCAAACAGGAUUAGAUACCCGAGUAGUC